GCAGCAGUGGGGAAUCUUGCGCAAUGGGGGCAACCCUGACGCAGCAACGCCGCGUGCGGGACGAAGGCCCUCGGGUCGUAAACCGCUUUCAGCAGGGAAGACGCAGACGGUACCUGCAGAAGGAGCCCCGGCUAACUACGUGCCAGCAGCCGCGGUAACACGUAGGGGGCGAGCGUUAUCCGGAUUCAUUGGGCGUAAAGCGCGCGCAGGCGGCCGCUCGAGCGGGACCUCUAAUCCCGGGGCUCAACCCCGGGCCGGGUCCCGGACUGGGCGGCUCGAGUUCGGUAGAGGCAGGCGGAAUUCCCGGUGUAGCGGUGGAAUGCGCAGAUAUCGGGAGGAACACCGAUGGCGAAGGCAGCCUGCUGGGCCGGAACUGACGCUGAGGCGCGAGAGCCGGGGGAGCGAACAGGAUUAGAUACCCUGGUAGUCCCGGCCGUAAACGAUGUGCGCUAGGUGUGGGGGCCGCCUUGCCCCCGUGCCGCAGCCAACGCAUUAAGCGCACCGCCUGGGGAGUACGGCCGCAAGGCUAAAACUCAAAGGAAUUGACGG
rnacentral:rRNA from 1 species